AUUGAACGCUGGCGGCAUGCCUAACACAUGCAAGUCGAACGGGGCAGCAAUGCCUAGUGGCGGACGGGUGAGGAAUACGUAGGAAUCUGCCCUUAAGUGGGGGAUAACCAGGGGAAACCCUGACUAAUACCGCAUGAUCUCUUCGGAGCAAAGAGGGGGACCGCAAGGCCUCUCGCUUCUGGAUGAGCCUACGUCUGAUUAGCUAGUUGGUAGGGUAAAGGCCUACCAAGGCGACGAUCAGUAACUGGUCUGAGAGGAUGAUCAGUCACACCGGAACUGAGACACGGUCCGGACUCCUACGGGAGGCAGCAGUGGGGAAUAUUGGACAAUGGGCACAGGCCUGAUCCAGCAAUGCCGCGUGUGUGAAGAAGGCCUUCGGGUUGUAAAGCACUUUAGCCUGGAAAGAAAAAACUUUGGUUAACACCCAAAGUCUUGACGGUACCAGGAGAAUAAGCACCGGCUAACUCUGUGCCAGCCGCCGCAGUAACAC
rnacentral:rRNA from 1 species